rnacentral:rRNA from 1 species
GGGUUGUGAGGUUAAGCGACUAAGCGUACACGGUGGAUGCCCGGCAGUCAGAGGCGAUGAAGGACGUGCUAAUCUGCGAAAAGCGUCGGUAAGGUGAUAUGAACCGUUAUAACCGGCGAUGUCCGAAUGGGGAAACCCAGUGCAAUUCGUUGCACUAUCGUUAACUGAAUACAUAGGUUAACGAGGCGAACCGGGGGAACUGAAACAUCUAAGUACCCCGAGGAAAAGAAAUCAACCGAGAUUCCCCCAGUAGCGGCGAGCGAACGGGGAGCAGCCCAGAGUCUGAAUCAGCUUGUGUGUUAGUGGAACGGUCUGGAAAGUCCGACGGUACAGGGUGAUAGUCCCGUACACCAAAAUGCACAGGUUGUGAACUCGAAGAGUAGGGCGGGACACGUGGUAUCCUGUCUGAAUAUGGGGACCAUCCUCCAAGGCUAAAUACUCCUGACUGACCGAUAGUGAACCAGUACCGUGAGGAAAGGCGAAAAGAACCCCGGCGAGGGAGUGAAAAGAACCUGAAACCGUGUACGUACAAGCAGUGGGAGCACCUUCGGGUGUGACUGCGUACCUUUGUAUAAUGGGUCAGCGACUUAUAUUCUGUAGCAAGGUUAACCGUAUAGGGAGCCGCAGGAAACCGAGUCUUAACUGGGCGUUAAGUUGCAGGGUAUAGACCCGAAACCCGGUGAUCUAGCCAUGGGCAGGUUGAAGGUUGGGUAACACUAACUGGAGGACCGAACCGACUAAUGUUGAAAAAUUAGCGGAUGACUUGUGGCUGGGGUGAAAGGCCAAUCAAACCGGGAGAUAGCUGGUUCUCCCGAAAGCUAUUUAGGUAGCGCCUCGUGAAUUCAUCUUCGGGGUAGAGCACUGUUUCGGCUAGGGGUCAUCCCGACUUACCAACCCGAUGCAAACUACGAAUACCGAAGAAUGUUAUCACGGGAGACACACGGCGGGUGCUAACGUCCGUCGUGAAGAGGAAACAACCCAGACCGCCAGCUAAGGUCCCAAAGUCAUGGUUAAGUGGGAAACGAUGUGGGAAGGCACAGACAGCCGGAUGUUGGCUUAGAAGCAGCCAUCAUUUAAAGAAAGCGUAAUAGCUCACUGGUCGAGUCGGCCUGCGCGGAAGAUGUAACGGGGCUAAACCAUGCACCGAAGCUGCGGCAGCGACGCUUAUGCGUUGUUGGGUAGGGGAGCGUUCUGUAAGCCUGCGAAGGUGGCCUGUGAGGGCUGCUGGAGGUAUCAGAAGUGCGAAUGCUGACAUAAGUAACGAUAAAGCGGGUGAAAAGCCCGCUCGCCGGAAGACCAAGGGUUCCUGUCCAACGUUAAUCGGGGCAGGGUGAGUCGACCCCUAAGGCGAGGCCGAAAGGCGUAGUCGAUGGGAAACAGGUUAAUAUUCCUGUACUUGGUGUUACUGCGAAGGGGGGACGGAGAAGGCUAUGUUAGCCGGGCGACGGUUGUCCCGGUUUAAGCAUGUAGGCGGAGGUUCCAGGUAAAUCCGGUACCUUUUAACGCUGAGGUGUGAUGACGAGGCACUACGGUGCUGAAGUAACAAAUGCCCUGCUUCCGGAAAAGCCUCUAAGCAUCAGGUAACAUUAAAUCGUACCCCAAACCGACACAGGUGGUCAGGUAGAGAAUACCAAGGCGCUUGAGAGAACUCGGGUGAAGGAACUAGGCAAAAUGGUGCCGUAACUUCGGGAGAAGGCACGCUGGUGUGUAGGUGAAGUCCCUGCGGACGGAGCUGAGACCAGUCGAAGAUACCAGCUGGCUGCAACUGUUUAUUAAAAACACAGCACUGUGCAAACACGAAAGUGGACGUAUACGGUGUGACGCCUGCCCGGUGCCGGAAGGUUAAUUGAUGGGGUUAUCCGUAAGGAGAAGCUCUUGAUCGAAGCCCCGGUAAACGGCGGCCGUAACUAUAACGGUCCUAAGGUAGCGAAAUUCCUUGUCGGGUAAGUUCCGACCUGCACGAAUGGCGUAAUGAUGGCCGGCUGUCUCCACCCGAGACUCAGUGAAAUUGAACUCGCUGUGAAGAUGCAGUGUACCCGCGGCAAGACGGAAAGACCCCGUGAACCUUUACUAUAGCUUGACACUGAACAUUGAGCCUUGAUGUGUAGGAUAGGUGGGAGGCUUUGAAGCGUGGACGCCAGUCUGCGUGGAGCCAACCUUGAAAUACCACCCUUUAAUGUUUGAUGUUCUAACGUUGGCCCCUUAUCGGGGUUGCGGACAGUGUCUGGUGGGUAGUUUGACUGGGGCGGUCUCCUCCCAAAGAGUAACGGAGGAGCACGAAGGUUAGCUAAUCCCUGGUCGGACAUCAGGAGGUUAGUGCAAUGGCAUAAGCUAGCUUGACUGCGAGCGUGACGGCGCGAGCAGGUGCGAAAGCAGGUCAUAGUGAUCCGGUGGUUCUGAAUGGAAGGGCCAUCGCUCAACGGAUAAAAGGUACUCCGGGGAUAACAGGCUGAUACCGCCCAAGAGUUCAUAUCGACGGCGGUGUUUGGCACCUCGAUGUCGGCUCAUCACAUCCUGGGGCUGAAGUAGGUCCCAAGGGUAUGGCUGUUCGCCAUUUAAAGUGGUACGCGAGCUGGGUUUAGAACGUCGUGAGACAGUUCGGUCCCUAUCUGCCGUGGGCGCUGGAGAAUUGAGGGGGGCUGCUCCUAGUACGAGAGGACCGGAGUGGACGCAUCACUGGUGUUCGGGUUGUCAUGCCAAUGGCACUGCCCGGUAGCUAAAUGCGGAAGAGAUAAGUGCUGAAAGCAUCUAAGCACGAAACUUGCCCCGAGAUGAGUUCUCCCCUGAGACUUUAAGUCUCCUGAAGGAACGUUGAAGACGACGACGUUGAUAGGCCGGGUGUGUAAGCGCAGCGAUGCGUUGAGCUAACCGGUACUAAUGAACCGUGAGGCUUAACCUUACAACGCCGAAGCUGUU